AUUGAACGCUGGCGGAAUGCUUUACACAUGCAAGUCGAACGGCAGCACGGACUUCGGUCUGGUGGCGAGUGGCGAACGGGUGAGUAAUGUAUCGGAACGUGCCCAGUCGUGGGGGAUAACGUAGUGAAAAUUACGCUAAUACCGCAUACGAUCUAUGGAUGAAAGCGGGGGAUCGCAAGACCUCGCGCGAUUGGAGCGGCCGAUAUCAGAUUAGGUAGUUGGUGGGGUAAAGGCCCACCAAGCCAACGAUCUGCAGCUAGUCUGAGAGGACGACCAGCCACACUGGAACUGAGACACGGUCCAGACUCCUACGGGAGGCAGCAGUGGGGAAUUUUGGACAAUGGGCGGAAGCCUGAUCCAGCCAUUCCGCGUGCAGGAUGAAGGCCCUCGGGUUGUAAACUGCUUUUGUACAGAACGAAAAGGUUUCUACUAAUACUAGGAGCUCAUGACGGUACUGUAAGAAUAAGCACCGGCUAACUACGUGCCAGCCGCCGCUGUAA
rnacentral:rRNA from 1 species